rnacentral:rRNA from 1 species
GGACCAAGGAGUCUAGCAUGUGCGCGAGUCAUUGGGAAUCACUAAACCUAAAGGCGCAAUGAAAGUGAAGGUGCCGCCUCGAGCGGACCGAGGGAGGAUGGGCGGCGGCUUUCAGACGUCGCCCCGCACUCCCGGGGCGUCUCGCACUCACUGCGAGGCGAGGCGCACCACGAGCGUACACGCUGGGACCCGAAAGAUGGUGAACUAUGCCUGGUCAGGACGAAGUCAGGGGAAACCCUGAUGGAGGUCCGUAGCGAUUCUGACGUGCAAAUCGAUCGUCGGAACUGGGUAUAGGGGCGAAAGACUAAUCGAACCAUCUAGUAGCUGGUUCCCUCCGAAGUUUCCCUCAGGAUAGCUGGCACUCGAGAGAACUGUAAUUGAACGAGUCUCAUCCGGUAAAGCGAAUGAUUAGAGGCAUUGGGGUCGAAACGGCCUCAACCUAUUCUCAAACUUUAAAUGGGUGAGAUCUCCGGCUUGCUUGACGUGAAGCCGGAGAUCGGAUCAACGGGUGCCAAGUGGGCCACUUUUGGUAAGCAGAACUGGCGCUGUGGGAUGAACCAAACGUCGAGUUAAAGCGCCAAAAUCGACGCUUAUGGGACACCAUGAAAGGCGUUGGUAACUUAAGACAGCAGGACGGUGGCCAUGGAAGUCGGA